rnacentral:rRNA from 1 species
CUCAGGAUGAACGCUGGCGGCGCAUUAAGACAUGCAAGUCGAACGAAAAUUAUGCUUAAAUAGUGGAUAGUUACUAAGAAACAAUUAUUAUGAAUUUAGUGGCGGACUGGUGAGUAAUACAUAGGUAAUCUGCCUUUUAGUGGGGGAUAACUAGAAGAAAUUCUAGCUAAUACCGCGUAAGACCACAUCUAGGCAUCUAGAAGAGGUCAAAGAAGUAAUUCGCUAAAAGAUGAGCCUGUGGCUGAUUAGUUAGUUGGUGGGGUAAAAGCCUACCAAGACGAUGAUCAGUAGCCGAGCUGAGAGGCUGGCCGGCCACAUUGGGACUGAGAUACGGCCCAGACUCCUACGGGAGGCAGCAGUUGGGAAUAUUGGACAAUGGAGGAAACUUCUGAUCCAGUGACGCCGCGUGAAGGAAGAAGGUCUUCGGAUUGUAAACUUAUUUUAUCAGGGAAGAAGAAAGUGACAGUACCUGAAGAAAAAGGACCGGCAAACUACGUGCCAGCCGCGGC